rnacentral:rRNA from 1 species
GGACCAUCAUGUCGGUCGUGCCUCGGUACGUACUGGUAUUGUUGGUUUCUCCCUUCUGACGAACCAUGAUGUCAUUUAUUUGGUGUUGCGGGGAAUUUGGACUGUUACUUUGAAAAAAUUAGAGUGCUUAAAGCAGGCUCACGCUUGAAUACAUUAGCAUGGAAUAAUGAAAUAGGACGUUUGAUCCUAUUUUGUUGGUUUCUAGGAUUGACGUA